GAUGUAAUAGAAUUCUGGACACAUGCUGACUCAGUGGCGCUCCUCAAUGCAGGACGUGGGAGUGGGGAGGGACGCACACUCUGUAAACAGGAAUAGGUGCAACACCGGUCACUGAGCUGGCAAGCUAAAGUUAGCUAGUUAGUCACAGAAAUGUACGUUCAGCCUGUUAAUUAUUUCAGUCCGAUUUGGCUUAUUUUACAAAGUCAGCAUGGUUUCUUUCGUUUUUGACCUCGAUAUUGUUGCUGGAUAGAUACUGUCAUAGCUAACAUACUGGCGCUGCUAGCUAGCUAAUGCUAACGUCGCUAGCUAACCUCAUAUCUGGAUGCAUCACUCAAGUUCCGGAGAGAGCAGCAUACUGGUGGUGUCUUACAGAGGAGUGUCAGUUUUGAUUGAAGAGAGGUGUGACAUAGACCCCAGAAGUCUGCAGACUACAGGGGAGGAAGAUGUGGCUGAGAAACAUCAGGCGUAGGGAUAUCAGUCUGCAGAAGUCCUUUGAGGACCUGAAGAAAGGGGGUUACGCUGUGUGCGAGGAGCACUUUGAAGAGUUAUAUUCUGAUUAUUAUCUUUGUCUAAAAAAAUAAUAAUCAGUCAUGAUAUUUUCUGGUAAAAAUGUCUUUCAACAGGGUUCACGGAAGACACUGUCUUCUGAGGCAGUACCUACCAGAAGACAUUACAUGAAUCCACCCCCUCAAUCUGCAACAAAUGCACGGCGUAGUGGAAAAAGUAAGCCAACCACAAAGUUCAUAGCAAUUAAAGAUGCAUCGUUAUUGUUUUAUAUCACAGGUUUAAAGUCUUGAAUUGUCUAUUUUUGAAGGAGGACAGGGACGCAGAUGCAGGAGUUUUAGGCGAGAAAGACAGAGAACAAGAGAGCGUAGACCCAGCAGAGGAAGCAGCAGAUGCUGAAUUUAGUUCAGGUGGUCUGCAGGAAGUGGUUUACCAGGUGACAGAGGUGGCAGGAGGCUUCCUCACAAGCAUACAGGAGGUAGUCUGUCAGGUGACAGGUGGCGGAAGGAGUCGUCCUCACGAGCAUAGAGGAAGCUCAGGUGUCAAAGGAAGCCGCAUGUAGCACAGGUGUCAUGCAGGAGGAGGCCAUCAUCCAAUUGAAGGAGGUCUAUAGUAUAAUAAUAAUACACCCACAGUGAUUAAUUGCACACACAUUGAAAGAAAAAUAUCACAAAGUUAAUCUCAUACAGAUGUUACUUUAAGAGAAUACAACUACUAGAAAAGAAGCUGUCAAUCACAAAAAAACAACAGCAAAUGCAAAGUAGGCAUGCUGCAAGACCGAAAGCCACCAAAACCAAGUACAUAGUCAUCUUAUAGAUUGGAAUAACAAAAAAUGGAGGACAUAGUUGACAAAAACCCUUAGCAGUCUCUGGGCAAAAAUUGGCAUUGUGUAAGAGUCCUCUUACUUAGAUCUAGUGCCUUUGAUUUCAUCCUGGAAGGCCAUGUCGAGCAUGCCUACGCCUCAUAGAAAAAAUUAUAAAGAAAUGCACCAUGUGUAGAAUGAGAGCGCAGCUUAGAAAAAAACAUGGUGAAUUUAACAAACCAAAAACCAUAGUGCAGUGAAAAUUGAAGUGUUUCACCGGAUAGCACUUUUCUUUUGGUGCCUGGACUCCCCCGUCUCACUAUCCUGGUGAAGAGAACAAAAACAAACAGAGAAAAGGGGAGUCAUCCAUUCCCUUUAUCCCAGGGAUGUAUCAUCAACUAGAUUCAGCAGCAUGCCAAUUUUUCUUGAGCAGAUGGUUGGGGGCCGGAAUAUAAUUUGUAGACUGCAAAUUGACUGGAAUAAGCCUUGCUUACAAUUGUAUAUGAUCAGGUGUCUCUAUUAUGCAUGGGAAUACAUUUAAUAGAUUCUUAAAUACAAAUCACUUGGAGCUGAUUUCCUGGUGUUUUUCCAGUCUUAUGUACAACAAUAAAAAAUAUAUAUAUUUUAAAUUGCCUCAAUUUUGGGGGCUAAAUAUAACCACCCGUGUGUCAAAUUUGGCCCGCGAGUUGGGGGGACAGUGCUUUGUCCUCACUGUCACUCAGAAACCAAUUCCAAUGUCCGCCUGGUAAUGGUUCUGUUCAAAACAAAACGAUUGUAAAAUAAUUUUGGUUCCAACACCUGGUUCUAGCUCUUUUGAAGUGUAACAAUGCAGUACUGUAGAGAGUACAUUAAUUCAUACAAACACUGUUCAUCCUUGCUCAAUCAUGUUCUAGCAGUUUCUAGCUCUUCGAGUAAACAAAUAACUUACGUUCUGUUCACUCUGAUGUGCGGUCCUGAAUGAUUAGCUAGUUAAACUAGCUAGUUACUCUAUUUUUCUGACAUGUGCAGAAUCGGAUUAAUUGCGCUACAGUAACGUUAGCUAGCUAACUUUAGCGGAGAAAUAUAUCAUAUUGUAUAUAUCAAGCUAGCUACUAUUUCUCUCUUCUUGCCGCCAUGUGAAAUUAUUGAAUGUAUUGUAAUGACCUGACUAGAUCAUAAAUGAACAAUUGUCCAGACAGAGGCUUG